rnacentral:tRNA from 1 species
GUAAUUGCUCAGUGGUUAAGAGCACUGACUGCUCAUCCAGAGGUCCUAAGUUCAAAUCCCAGGAACCACA